rnacentral:tRNA from 1 species
GCUCUAGUAGCUUAACUCAUUCAAAGCAUGGCACUGAAGAUGCUAAGAUGGUAACCAUACUACCCAAGAGC